rnacentral:lncRNA from 1 species
AUGGGAUUGGGUCAAUUUAAAUUGGAUCCUUAUCCUACUAGAAAUAGUUUCAAGUGGAGAAGGACUCCUCUGUGCCCACCAAUAUCUAUACCAAAAAUAAAUGCCGCCCCACCUCUUUUCAGCAUGUGAAGUUGGAGAGUCCUUCUUCAUGAAGGCUCUUAACUAAUACGCAUUGCCUUAAAUUCUCAACCAAAUAUCCAUU